rnacentral:rRNA from 1 species
GACGAACGCUGGCGGCGUGCUUAACACAUGCAAGUCGAACGGAAAGGCCCUGCUUUUGUGGGGUGCUCGAGUGGCGAACGGGUGAGUAACACGUGAGUAACCUGCCCUUGACUUUGGGAUAACUUCAGGAAACUGGGGCUAAUACCGGAUAGGAGCUCCUGCUGCAUGGGGGGGGUUGGAAAGUUUCGGCGGUUGGGGAUGGACUCGCGGCUUAUCAGCUUGUUGGUGGGGUAGUGGCUUACCAAGGCUUUGACGGGUAGCCGGCCUGGGAGGGUGACCGGCCACAUUGGGCCUGCGAUACGGCCCAGACUCCUACGGGAGGCAGCAGUGGGGAAUCUUGCACAAUGGGCGGAAGCCUGAUGCAGAAACGCCGCGUGCGGGAUGCCGGCCUUCGGGUUGUAAACCGCUUUCGCCUGUGACGAAGCGUGCGUGACGGUACUGGGUAAAGAAGCACCGGCUAACUACGUG